rnacentral:rRNA from 1 species
AACGUAGGAGACAAACGUUAUCCGGAGUUACUGGGCGUAAAGGGCGUGCAGGCGGUCGACUAAGUCUGGCGUGAAAGCUCUCGGCUAAACCGGGAGAGGUCGUUGGAUACUGGUUGACUAGAGGACGGUAGAGGCGUGUGGAAUUCCGGGUGUAGUGGUGAAAUGCGUAGAGAUCCGGAGGAACACCAGUGGCGAAGGCGACACGCUGGGCCGUACCUGACGCUGAUACGCGACGGCAUGGGGAGCGAACGGG